AGAGUUACGUCCCAUGUAAUUUAGCCAUUCAAGUAGAAUCUAGAAGCUGGAGAACAUGUUAGCCUGUGAUUUCAUUAAAAGAUAUACAACGAAUUAUUUAUGGGGGUGUAACUGUAUUUAUUCUUCUUUGCUGUUUUGUAAUCAAGGCGGGCUUCCUCGAAAUGUUUUACGACGAGGGGUCAGUGGUGAAGAGGUCAAAAGGUUAAUGAUUGACGGCUUAUUACAUUGCCCAGAUUACCAGAUAGGAUUUACUACUUCAACACUAUAGAUUCAACACCGGUUAAAGUUUAUCACUUCCGAUGUAACCAAAUAUUCACUAAUAGACGUAAAGGAUUGUCGUUUUGG